UGAGCAACCUGCCCUUAGCUUUGGGAUAACUCUCGGAAACGGGGGCUAAUACCGAAUGUUCACUGCCGGGCGCAUGUUUGGUGGUGGAAAGUUUUUCGGCUGGGGAUGGGCUCGCGGCCUAUCAGCUUGUUGGUGGGGUGAUGGCCUACCAAGGCGACGACGGGUAGCCGGCCUGAGAGGGCGACCGGCCACACUGGGACUGAGACACGGCCCAGACUCCUACGGGAGGCA
rnacentral:rRNA from 1 species